rnacentral:rRNA from 1 species
CCCAGACAGCCAGGAUGUUGGCUUAGAAGCAGCCAUCAUUUAAAGAAAGCGUAAUAGCUCACUGGUCGAGUCGGCCUGCGCGGAAGAUGUAACGGGGCUAAACCAUGCACCGAAGCUGCGGCAGCGAACGUAUCACUUAAAGCGAUUCAGCGGGUUACGAUUGACGGAGCGAAGCGACGUCAAAGCGUAUACAAAGUCGAGUCGGUUUAAGGAUACGUUCGUUGGGUAGGGGAGCGUUCUGUAAGCCCGUGAAGGUGGCCUGUGAGGGUUGCUGGAGGUAUCAGAAGUGCGAAUGCUGACAUAAGUAACGAUAAAGCGGGUGAAAAGCCCGCUCGCCGGAAGACCAAGGGUUCCUGUCCAACGUUAAUCGGGGCAGGGUGAGUCGACCCCUAAGGCGAGGCCGAAAGGCGUAGUCGAUGGGAAACGGGUUAAUAUUCCCGUACUUGGUGUUACUGCGAAGGGGGGACGGAGAAGGCUAUGUUGGCCGGGCGACGGUUGUCCCGGUUUAAGCGUGUAGGUGUGUGUUCCAGGUAAAUCCGGUUCACUUUAACACUGAGGCGUGACGACGAGGCACUACGGUGCUGAAGCAACAAAUGCCCUGCUUCCAGGAAAAGCCUCUAAGCAUCAGGUAACAUCAAAUCGUACCCCAAACCGACACAGGUGGUCAGGUAGAGAAUACCAAGGCGCUUGAGAGAACUCGGGUGAAGGAACUAGGCAAAAUGGUGCCGUAACUUCGGGAGAAGGCACGCUGACACGUAGGUGA